GACAGCCAUUUGUCUGAAAUCGUAUAGGGUUUCCUGCCUGAGCAGGGGGUUGGACUAGAUGACCUCCAAGGUCCCUUCCAACUUUAUUAUUAUUAUUACCAUCAUCAUCAUCAUCAAUCAUUAUUAUAUAAGGGCUAUUGCUAAUGCUAGGUGGGUGAUUCCCCUCAGGAAAGCAAACAAGAACCCCUAUUUUUUGAGACCUGUCGUACACUUUCCCCCAAAAGGUUUCCACAAUUUUGGCCACUACUGUACAUUUGUCCGAAAUGGUAUAGGGCAGUGUUUCUCAACCUUG